rnacentral:rRNA from 1 species
AUUGAACGCUGGCGGCAGGCUUAACACAUGCAAGUCGAGCGGGGUGAUGGUGCUUGCACUAUCACUUAGCGGCGGACGGGUGAGUAAUGCUUAGGAAUCUGCCUAUUAGUGGGGGACAACAUCUCGAAAGGGAUGCUAAUACCGCAUACGUCCUACGGGAGAAAGCAGGGGAUCACUUGUGACCUUGCGCUAAUAGAUGAGCCUAAGUCGGAUUAGCUAGUUGGUGGGGUAAAGGCCUACCAAGGCGACGAUCUGUAGCGGGUCUGAGAGGAUGAUCCGCCACACUUGGACUGAGACACGGCCCCGACUCCUACGGGAGGCAGCAGUGGGGAAUAUUGGACAAUGGGGGGAACCCUGAUCCAGCCAUGCCGCGUGUGUGAAGAAGGCCUUAUGGUUGUAAAGCACUUUAAGCGAGGAGGAGGCUCUUUUGGUUAAUACCCAAGAUGAGUGGACGUUACUCGCAGAAUAAGCACCGGCUAACUCUGUGCCAGCCGCCGCGGUAA